rnacentral:sRNA from 1 species
AGCUGUUCCCCUCUGGAGGUUUAAAUUACCUUCACAUCUAAAGGGCCCGAGUUUUCUCGUGGCCCUCUUUUUUUGUCCUGA